AUGUUUGCACUUAUUGUUGAAGGUAAAAAGAGUGACAAACAAUUCUAGAUAAGAUACAUAAAAUACACUUGAUGAUGUUAAUUGUAUGUAGUCUACGUAGACCAGAUUGUCAAAGAAACUACUCGACAUAUAUGACAGAAACUGGAGAAACUUAAACUAAACAGAAGCAAGCCAAGAUCCUUCAAAGAAUAGAGAAACAGAGAAUAAUUCAUCAUUCAUCUAUCGAUAAGUUUUUCUAGUGCUUUCGAUAGUUUUCUUUUGCCUUGUCAUCCUUUAUAGCCUUACUAUUUAUCUUGUUCUGGUUACUAACAGAUCCCUCCUGAGCACUGCACAUUUGAGAUUUCAUCUUGAAACCAAACUUCUUGGAUACAUUUCCCCAAGUGCUUGAUCCCUUUGAUCGACCCAACUUCUCAAUCUCCUGCCUCAUGGUUGAGCACUCCUUCUCGAGCUCUGACACGCGCACCCUCAUACUAUCCAUUCCCACCUUCAACACCUGGUUUUCUCUCACAGCAG
rnacentral:misc_RNA from 1 species